rnacentral:rRNA from 1 species
UACAGAGGGGGCAAGCGUUGUUCGGAAUUACUGGGCGUAAAGGGCGCGUAGGCGGCCUGUUAAGUCGAACGUGAAAUCCCCGGGCUCAACCCGGGAACUGCGUCCGAUACUGGCAGGCUUGAAUCCGGGAGAGGGAUGCGGAAUUCCAGGUGUAGCGGUGAAAUGCGUAGAUAUCAGAAGGAACACCUGUGGUGUAGACAGCUUACUGGACCACUUCUGACGCUGAGACACGAAAGCGUGGGUAGCAAACAGG